UUGCGGGGGCAUGGUCGGGGGGUUAGGCCUCCCCUACUGGCGAAAGCCAGUGGCAAAUGGUCUAUAUGGCCGACCUACAGCCUGAGGGCGGUAUGUAAGUGCAUACCAUUCCAAACAUCCGACGAAGAACUCUCGCCCCACAGGGUCGCACUAUCAGUGAACCGAGUCAGGCCCGGAAGGGAGCAGCUCUAAGCUGGUAGUGCGAUGCUUGUGGGAUAACGGGAGGGAGAAGGGUGUUUGGAUUGAAAUGGUAUGCGCUUACAUAUCCACCGAAGGUGGCCCCCGCAA
rnacentral:SRP_RNA from 1 species